rnacentral:tRNA from 1 species
UAGGGUGUAGCUCAGUGGUAGAGCACUUUUCUAACACAUGUGAGGCACUGAGUUCAAUCCUCAGUACCAUGU